rnacentral:misc_RNA from 1 species
AACGCACAUUGCGCCCCGUGGUAUUCCGCGGGGCAUGCCUGUUCGAGCGUCAUUAUGACCACUCACGCCUGGCGUGGUGUUGGGGCACGCGGUUCCGCGGCUCUCAAAUCCAGUGGCGGCGUCGGUAGGCUCUAAGCGUAGUAAAAUUUCUCGCUUGAGGGUCCUCCUGGUGGCUCGCUAGAACCCCUAAUUUUUUUAAGGUUGACCUCGGAUCAGGUAAGGAUACCCGCUGAACUUAA